GACGAACGCUGGCGGCGUGCUUAACACAUGCAAGUCGAACGGAAAGGCCCCCAUCUUGGUGGGGGUGCUCGAGUGGCGAACGGGUGAGUAACACGUGGGUGAUCUGCCCUGUACUUCGGGAUAAGCUUGGGAAACUGGGUCUAAUACCGGAUAGGACCAUGGUUUAGUGUCUCAUGGUGGAAAGAUUAUUGUUUUGGUGCAGGAUGAGCUCGCGGCCUGUCAGCUUGUUGGUGGGGUAAUGGCCUACCAAGGCGUCGACGGGUAGCCGGCCUGAGAGGGUGGACGGCCACAUUGGGACUGAGGUCCGGCCCAGCCUCCUACGGGAGGCAGCAGUGGGGAAUAUUGAACAAUGGGCGCAAGCCUGAUGCAGCGACGCCGCGUGGGGGAUGACGGCCUUCGGGUUGUAAACUCCUUUCGUUAGGGACGAAGCCGCACUUUUUUUGGGUGUGGUGACGGUACCUUUGUUAAGAAGCACCGGCUAACUACGUG
rnacentral:rRNA from 1 species